rnacentral:lncRNA from 1 species
CCCCUGGUCUAGUUGAACAGCGUUCUCUUUGUUCAACUAGUGGUGUGUGGUGUGAAGUCAGCGCUGUAAAUGAACUAAGAUAAAAAGAUGAUAAUUUUUCCUUUUGAUUCGUCGAGCAUCAUUAAAGAUGAUAAGGGCUUAGAUAACCUGUGCUGAGAAGACUCAAGUGAUCUGCGCUGAGAUAACUGAUAUAGCUGCGCUGAGAAGACCGUGUUGACUGCGCUGAGAUGACAACCCCGCGUUGACUGCG